UACGUAGGAUGCAAGCGUUGUCCGGAUUUAUUGGGCGUAAAGAGUUCGUAGGUGGUUCGUUAAGUCUGAUGUUAAAGACCGGGGCUCAACUUCGGGACUGCAUUGGAUACUGGCGGACUUGAGUGUGGUAGAGGCAAUCGGAAUUCCAGGUGUAGCGGUGAAAUGCGUAGAUAUCUGGAAGAACACCGGUGGCGCAAGCGGAUUGCUGGGCCAUAACUGACACUGAGGAACGAAAGCUAGGGGAGCGAGUGGG
rnacentral:rRNA from 1 species